rnacentral:misc_RNA from 1 species
UACUGGCAGGAUCAACCAGGUAGCACGUCCUUCGAUGAUGCCAUACCCAACGCUACCACCCUAGCUGGCGAACAACAAAGAAGUCAUACUAAAGCGCACACGAUGGGUAGACAGUCAUUCGCAUAGACAAAACAUAGCCAUGAGGCCUAAAGGCACUCGACCAAUAAUGCAUGCUGCAUCCACGAGCACUCAAGGCACCAAUGGUCUUACUUUGAGAGAUGGGGCAAAAACCCAUGCAAUCAUCCAAAAGGCCAUAGGUGCCACCAUGCACCCACUCCUAUACCGCACAAAACGGAGGGAGGGGAGAGAGAGUAUAGCACCGAGUCAUAUUUCUCUUAUGAAAACUAUGUAAAUAGUACAGGCAAAUUUUGUGGCACCAACAGCAACAAUGGACCAUAUAAUGAAGAAUUGCACUAAUUUCGGUUGGGUGCACAAGGCACAGAGCCCGCCAUUAUAUGCAACUAUCAAACAACUUAUGUGCCGACACGGUCAUUCCAUGUACAUUGCCUUAUCGCCCACAUGCGUGCCCAUCAAGAAGAUAGUGGCAUGGGGUCAAAUGAGGCAAUCAACAUUGGAACUCC